AAUAGCUCAGCCGGUAGAGCGUUCGGCUGUUAACCGAAAUGUCGCAGGUUCGAGUCCUGCUU
rnacentral:tRNA from 1 species